UAUUUUAUUUUUUUGGCGGUAGUCCAGCAGCAGUGUCCAUACCAUGCCUUUCUGUCGGGUCUUCUUUCCGCCUCCCGAACCGCUUAUACCACCACAAAGAUCGGAUAUUCGGGUCCAGCCCUAGUAGACUCAUGUUUAUAAUAUGAUCUGUGGCAAAUAUAAGUAAUAUCUGCUCAUAAACAGUUGUUGACAUGCUGUUUUAUAUUCAGAAAGUAUGCUAUUGGUUUCAGUUUUGUGGUUACUGUGGGGGAGCUGUAUUUAUUUUUUUUAAAAAACAAGUAUUUUUUUAAACAAGUAUUCCAAUGAGAAAAAAUUGAAAUUUGCAAUUCGGUUUCCGAAUUGAAAAAUUGCAGCAACAAGCACACCCUCUUCAGGACCUGAAAAUAUAUCAAUUGUAAGUUAAACCUCCUCUGGUGGGAUUCGUAACUUUGGAGCAAGGUUAAUUUACUUUACACCAUCCGUGGUCAUUUUAAUGUCAAAAAUAUGUUAAGGGAACUUUCUGUGUCAUCAGUGUUCUUCAAAUAAACAAUUGCUUUAAUUUCUCAUAUUGCAACACAUGGUAUUUUAAUGAUAUGUCAUAAUAUAAUUUCUCAAUAUAUUUCACAUAAUAUUGAAGGACGUUGACUCGGGAAUUUGGUCUCAACAGCUCACGCAAGGUAAGAUCAAAUUAGUGCUGUUGAAGGUUUAAAUUUAAUUUUUUAAUGACACCGAUAUGGUUGAGUUAUGAGAUGUUUAUUUUUUUUUACAGGUGCCUCAACAUGAGAUGGAGGUGUAAGAUGUGUAGUUUUGAAUCAGACAGGCGGAUAGGAUUGUUAAAACACUAUAGAUCAAAGAUGAGUUCAGAAGGACAACAACAGUUCAUCUGGAGCGAACCUUUUUGUCAAAACUGGACACACACACUCUCAAACUCCUGGAGAUAUUUAGGACAAAGGGCGGGGUUGCAGGCACGAAAAUCAGACCGAUGCUGGAUUCAUUUGGCCAGCAACAUGUUGAAGGCAGAAGAGAUCUCAUCAUACGUUGCCUAAUGGAGUUCCUUGGAGAGUCGGGAGAGGAGCUGAUCAAAGACUGCCAGGAUGUAGGUGAAGAAGACUCUGUUCAUCAUGUCAAGAUCCUCAUCAGUGGAAAUGCAGCACUGGAAGGCCACAAUCCUGCCCAUGUGUCAGUCAUCGUCGAAGGAAAAGAGCAUUUCAUUUCGUCCCGUGCAUUUUUUUUUACCAUCCCCGGGACGACGGUACUACGUUAAUCUCAAGCCCUGGAAGUUACAUUUUAUUGUUUGCAUUAUUUGUUUCAGCAUUGCACUUUGAAGAUGGUCCCUCAGCUCUUUGACAGCUUUGGCUCUUUUUUAGAUCAGCAGACUGACUCUAAGUCUUUCUUAUUUACAGUAUAUAUAAACGUUUCUCAUUUCUAUUCAGACUUCCAAAUAUAUUUAAU